rnacentral:lncRNA from 1 species
GGCAGAUAAGAAACUACUAAUCACCAUCUUUCAAAAGAUGAGUCAUAUGUGUUUCUCCGCACCCAGUGCUGUGUCAGAGGAACCCAUCACCAUGCCCAGAAGGAAGGAAUGCUACACAGAGCAGCCAAAAAGAAUCUGGCCAAACAGGCCUUGCUGGGCUUUCUUAUUAACUGUGCUUAUAUCUAUGCUUCGGCCGUGCUUGUGUCAUGAGACUGGAAGCUUGUGCACCCAGGGUGGGCAUGGGAGCUCUAUACUAUUUCCUCAAUAACUUACCCUGUGCAUCUCUUCACCUGUACCCUUUGUAAUUCCUUUAGAGUGAGUCAGUAAAUGUGUUUACCUGAAUUCUGUUAGCCUCUUGCACAAGUUAAACAUAGCCAUAAAGGGAAUCUGCGAGUAUAGUAACUAUGGGUGCAUAGAUUCUUUUUUAUCUAACACAUAACUAAAGGAAUCUAUGCAUCCAUGGUUCAUAAAAAGAAAAUUCAGGUGGACAGAGGUCUACUUGGCAGAGGAACGUCAACUCAGUAAAUGUUUAGGGAACAACCAAAUGAGAAUGUCACCAUUUGCUGAGAAAUGCUCCAAGACAGAGACAUCAGUGGAUGUUGUAAGUAUCACCCCACAGAUUUGGUGAGAAUCUGGCAGGCAGCUGUCACCUUCACUGAAUGACCCAGCUUGGCAUUACCAGCAGUGAGUGCCCUGAUAAGGAUACACUAGCAUUGAUGUGGAAUGCUUGCCAAAACCAUUGAGCCUGAAUACAGUCAUGAAUGAACAGACAAGUGCAAAGUGAGAAGGCCAUGAAAUAACCUCUCUGAUCCUGUGAAGUAGUAGUGUGGCAGAGGGCGAAGCUCAGGGGACUGCUCCAGAUUAAAUGGAAAGACCAGAAGAAUCACAUAUGCAUGGUCCAUAUGUGGAUCAUAAACCCCCAAAUAAAUAUUGUCAGAAUGGCUCGGGAAGUUUAGAUAUGGACUAACUUACUUAAGAGUUCCAAGGGGCUGAGGAAAUAGCUUAGUGAGUUCAAAUCCCCAGAACCCACAAAUAAUAAAAAGCUAUAUAUAAUCAUGCAGGCCUGCAAACCAAGCAUUAGGGAGGGAGAGAUGGGGGACUUUCAGGGGCUUAUUGACCAGCUAACAUACCUCAAACAAGAAGGUGUCUUUUAAAAUAUAGGUGGUAGAGAAAGGUGAUGCUCUGUGAGUUGGAGGGCAAAGUGUUCUACAUAACAAGUCCUAGACCAUCUGAGGACACACAGCGAGACCCUGUCUCAAAAAAAUAAAAAAAAAUUAAAAAAAAAAGAAAGAAAGAAAAAAAGAAAAAAAUGAAAUUACUUUUCCGCAAGAGUAAAUCAGUUUAUUCCUCUCUAUUUUCUCCUUUCACUAAUAACUCUUAUUCUUACUGAUGACCAAACUGUCUCUUCUUUGGCCAGUAGGAGUCCCUGCGUGUUUGUUCUUGAGUCUUUUUAGUCUCCUGUAGGCCUAGAGAGUCUUACUGAUUCCUGGUCCAUUUAGUAUGUUUACUGCCCCAGAUCUGCAGCCACCUGUUUGUCUUAGGAGGUUCCUUCUAGAAGUAAGUGAAAGCUGCUCGCUUUAUAAAUCUCCUUCCUGUCACUGCAUUGUCUGGCUUCUAGUACUCCCAUUUAAUUCAGGGCAAGGUAAUAAGAAGGGGACAAUUAAAAGAAAACUUGUUUUUAUCCCACAUGCUUUUGUGUAGUUUGAGUCUUUUACAAAAAGUAAGGUUUUUGUGUUGCUUAUAUAAUUAUAAAAAGCCAAAAGACCUUCAGCCACAGAUGACAGAAUGUGAGAAGGCUGUUGACCUGCCCUAAACCGGAGUGACUCUUUUGUCUUUGUGUGCUUUUCCAGGACCUGUACCCAGCUCUCAAAGGUGUAAGCACAGUUUUCCACUGCGCGUCCCCUCCGCCGUACAGUAACAACAAGGAGCUCUUUUAUAGAGUGAAUUUCAUUGGCACCAAGACUGUCAUUGAAACCUGCAGAGAGGCCGGAGUUCAGGUAAGGGGAAUGCUGUGCUGAGGAGUAUCAGGAGAGUGUGCUUGCUUUCUCAGAGGGCGGGGGAGCAAUUCUUGUUACUGUCUUCCUGGGCCUAUCCAGGAUUGCCUUUUACAUGUCGAGAAGAUACUAAAAAUUAAGCCCUGGGGACCAGUUGAUAUCACAGAGGACCACUUGCGGUUAUACUCUUCCAAUCCAGAUAGGCCAUCAUCAGGAUGCUCAGGUAGACUAAGGCCUAUUUGUCUUUGCUUAGCAAACUAUGAAAUUUGAACAUUACUUAUUUUCUCUAUUGAAACAGCAUGUACUUAAUGUUUUCAAUGUUUGACCCUGUGACCCUUUCAGAUGUUCAUUCAGUGAUACUAACUAUAUUCACUUCGUUGUCCAACCAUUACCACUGUCCAUCCCUAGUCAUGCAUACGCAGCAGGGCUCCAUUCUUCUGCCCACCCCUAACUCGUGGCAACCACCAUAUUCUGGCCAUCUCUCUGAUUAUUUAGGGAGCUCAUGUGAGUCAUUCACACCAUGUUUUUAUCUUUUGACUUGUCACAAUACAGUCUCUGUAAGAGCUGUCCACGCUGACACAUGUCAGAAUUUCCUUUUCAUUUUUCAAGGCUAAUACUCCCCUUAGCCUUGGACCAUAACUUAUUCAUUCAUCCAUCAAUAGACAUUUGUGGUGCCUUCACCUUUCAUCUGCUAUGUAUGGGGGCUACAAAUGCCUCAGUCCUUGCUUUUGACUCUUUUGGUUCAGUACUCAGAGGUGGUAUUCCUGAACCAUAAGAUAAUUUUGUACAGAACGUUUUUAAAAGAAUCGUCACAUUGUUUAACAACCUUGCUUAUAUUUUAAAAGAAAAAAAAAAAGACAGUACUGUUGCGUAUAUCUGAUAGAAACCUAUCAUGACUUUGGCCAAAGGACAUACAGAUUUUAGCCUUGUGUCAGCUUAUAACACUGUUAGAAAUCUGCUUCCUAGAAUGGCCCUAAUGAAACCUCAGCCUCUAGGUCCAACAUCUCACUUGCUUACAGUGAAUGCUACAUGCCAAAUACUCUGAACUGAGUAAAAGAGUACUUCUCCUAAUAAUUUUCCUGGUUACUUUUGGCCAGUUCCCAGUAACCAACCGGCCCAGCAGGAAUAGAUGACAGGGGAGCUCUUCUGGAUUCCCAUUAGUUAAAAUUUCCAUUUGCCAAUCAUAUUAAUGCAUAAGCAGGAACUAGAGAGAGAUGGAUGCCAGUAUUCAGUUAGCUUCCUCCUUUCUUCCUAUUCAGGACCCCACAGCCUAUGAUCCCCUGCAUGGUGGCUUUUCCUCUAUAAUUGAAACCUCUGUAGAAGUGCCACCCAGACAUACCCAGAGAUGUAUCUCCCAGGUGAUUUCAAACCAACUGUCAUACUCAGCUGUGCUUUACACUUGACAAGACACUUCACCCUGCUGUAGUUGUCACCUACUUUUUCUCAUCUUAAGUAGCCAGGAGCUAUUCAUCCAUGCACCUCUGGUAUAAGGCAUUGGCUUGCAUGUUGGAGAACUUUAUAACAAUGGUGUCGCACUGAACAUGUCUUUCUGUAACUUUUUUCCACCAAUACUAAACUUUUGAGCUUUAUGUAUCUUGAUAUAUGUAGCUCUUGUUCAUCCUCUGAGGGGGAGGACAGCUUGAAAUUGAUAUAAGUAACCUUUUUUCUCUAACACCCAAAACCAAGUCUUGAAUGCAUCUUAUCUCAAAGUUUGAACAUGUUACUUCCCAUACUUAAGGCUAAUUAACCAGGUAUCUAUGAUUAUAUGCAAGAUUGCUUUUUACAGUUAACCAGUUAAGCAUGUUGAUGGCUUAAUCCAACAUUUGUGCAAACAUAUGCCUCCUGCAGCAUACUUUAGGCAUCCUGUCCUGCCAGAGUCUGUUCCUAGGUUUUCUGUUUAUUGUACUGACCUCUGUUCUCAUGGCAGUAGCAUACAUAUCAGUAUUUGAUAGGGCACACACCUUGAGCAACUUCUUCAAAGAUCCCUUAGCUACUCUGAGACUUUUGUUCAAAUUUUCCCAUCUGCUAUAUAUAUGUAUUCAGCUUGUCAAGUUCCUUGAUGAAGCUGUGAGAUUAUUACUGCAAUUGCAUUUAUGUUCUGGCAAAUUUUUAAAAGAGCUCUUUCUUUCUAUUAUUUAGUCUUACUUUCUUUUUCUUUUCUUCUUUUUUUCUUCUCUUUUUCCUUUUUGAAUUUUUGGAACAGGGUUCCCUGUGUAGUCCUGUCUGUCUGGGAAUUCACUAUAUAGACCAAGAUGGCCUCAAAUUCAGAAAUCUGCCUGCCUCUGCCUCCCAAGUGCUGGGAUUAAAGGCCUGAGCCACCACCACCUAGCAAGCCUUCCUUUCUAUAAAUAUCUCCCAGUUGGUAAUGCCACUCAGUGAUGUUGUACCAUACUUCACAAACAUUUUAUAUAUCUUUUGUUGAAUUUAUUCAUGUGUACCCCAUCAUGUGUUAAUUACCAACUUAUACUGCAUUUCAAUUUCUGCUGAUAUUUAGGAAUAUGGCUAAUUUUCACAAUACACAUAUACAUACAUAUGGUAGUUUUAGUUUUGGGGUUGUUUUUGUUUGGGGUGUGUGUGUGUGUACGCACAAUUACAUGCAGGAGCUUUCAGAGACCAAAGGCUCAAAUCCUAUUAGAACUGGAGUUACAAGAGUUUGUG